UUUUACCCAUUUGGUUUAAUAUAAACAAAGAGUCUGCCAUUUCUUCCUUAAUUAAGCAUGUAUUAAGUGUUUACACUCAAGCGUCAUACAAAGCCCUCAAAUAUCUUAAAGCCCAGUGUGGCAGACAGAAAUAUGAAGGAAUAAGGUCAAAGUACAAUUAUGGAUUUCCUAAUAAAUGUCUGUGCUUUGUAAGAGGAGGGGGUGGG
rnacentral:lncRNA from 1 species